rnacentral:rRNA from 1 species
UGCGGAAUAUUGGUCAAUGGUCGAGAGACUGAACCAGCCAAGUCGCGUGAAGGAUGACUGCCCUAUGGGUUGUAAACUUCUUUUACAAGGGAAUAAAAUGAGAUACGUGUAUUUUAUUGCAUGUACCUUGGGAAUAAGCAUCGGCUAACUCCGUGCCAGCAGCCGCGGUAAUACGGAGGAUGCGAGCGUUAUCCGGAUUUAUUGGGUUUAAAGGGUGCGUAGGUGGGCUGUUAAGUCAGCGGUGAAAGUUUGUCGCUUAACGAUAAAAUUGCCGUUGAAACUGGUAGUCUUGAGUAUAGAUGAAGUAGGCGGAAUGCGUGGUGUAGCGGUGAAAUGCAUAGAGAUCACGCAGAACUCCGAUUGCGAAGGCAGCUUACUAAGGUAUAACUGACACUGAAGCACGAAAGCGUGGGUAUCAAACAGG